rnacentral:tRNA from 1 species
GGGUGUUUAGCUCAGUGGUAGAGCGGCUGACUGCAGCUCGGCAAGUCCUCGAUUCAAAUUCGAGCCCGCUCU